AGAUUUAUCCAACAAAAUGAAGAUUCUAAUUGUCCUUGCCUGCCUUUUGGCCAUCACUGCUCCUUAUGAGGCUAGCAGAAGUGAAAGUGGAAGCAGGGAAGGAUGGCGAUACCCAUCUUACCCACCAUAUCCACACUACCCAUCUCUGGGCUAUCCGCUUCCAAGCCCAACUUCAUAUUUUCCCUUUAUGUAUCCUCCUAUGUAUCCACCGUGGUUUUUUAACCAUUUAGGUAAGCCUGUAGCAACUGCUGGCCCACCUACUGUGCCUAGGACUGUGCGUGGAUAAAACCUGAUCUGUUGACUGGUAAGUCUGAGAUGAUUUUUAGAAGAUAACUAGAAGACACCCUUUUGCUUCUGGUACAGCACAAUGAAUGACCCUGAUUUAGAUUGACUUUUCCAAGCUUUGCAAUAUUUUCCUUUAA